rnacentral:rRNA from 1 species
GAGCUUGGGAGACAGACACCGGGUGCUAACGUCCGAUGUCAAGAGGGAAACAACCCAGACCGCCAGCUAAGGUCCCAAAGAUUGGCUAAGUGGAAAACGAAGUGGGAAGGCUAAAACAGUCAGGAGGUUGGCUUAGAAGCAGCCAUCCUUUAAAGAAAGCGUAAUAGCUCACUGAUCGAGUCGUCCUGCGCGGAAGAUGUAACGGGGCUAAGCCGGUCACCGAAGCUGCGGAUAUCCUGUAUGGGAUAUGGUAGGAGAGCGUUCUGUAAGCCUGAGAAGGUGUGUUGAGAAGCAUGCUGGAGGUAUCAGAAGUGCGAAUGCUGACAUGAGUAGCGAUAAUGGGGGUGAAAGGCCCCCACGCCGUAAGCCCAAGGUUUCCUGUUCAACGUUCAUCGGAGCAGGGUGAGUCGGCCCCUAAGGCGAGGCAGAGAUGCGUAGCUGAUGGGAAGCAGGUUAAUAUUCCUGCACCGUCGUUAGAUGCGAUGGGGGGACGGAUCGCGGAAAGUCGUCCGGGUGUUGGAAGUCCCGGUUCUUGAUUCGAAGGAGGCUGCUAGGCAAAUCCGGCAGCGUAAUCCAAGGGAUUGAGACGAGUGGCCUUGUGCCGCGAAGCGAUUGGAAGUGGUUCCAAGAAAAGCCUCUAAGCUUCAGUCUAACGAGACCGUACCGCAAACCGACACAGGUGGGCGAGAUGAGUAUUCUAAGGCGCUUGAGAGAACUCGGGAGAAGGAACUCGGCAAAUUGGUACCGUAACUUCGGGAUAAGGUACGCCCUUGUAUCUUGACUGGCCUGCGCCAGGAGGGAGAAGGGGUUGCAAUAAAAAGGUGGCUGCGACUGUUUAAUAAAAACACAGCACUCUGCAAACACGAAAGUGGACGUAUAGGGUGUGACGCCUGCCCGGUGCUGGAAGAUUAAAUGAUGGGGUGAGAGCUCUUGAUUGAAGUCCCAGUAAACGGCGGCCGUAACUAUAACGGUCCUAAGGUAGCGAAAUUCCUUGUCGGGUAAGUUCCGACCUGCACGAAUGGCGUAACGAUGGCCACACUGUCUCCUCCCGAGACUCAGCGAAGUUGAAAUGGUUGUGAUGAUGCAAUCUACCCGCGGCUAGACGGAAAGACCCCAUGAACCUUUACUGUAGCUUUACAUUGGACUUUGAACCAAUCUGUGUAGGAUAGGUGGGAGGCUUUGAAGCGUGAACGCUAGUUUGCGUGGAGCCGGCCUUGAAAUACCACCCUGGUUUGUUUGAGGUUCUAACCUUGGCCCGUUAUCCGGGUUGGGGACAGUGUAUGGUAGGCAGUUUGACUGGGGCGGUCUCCUCCAAAAGCGUAACGGAGGAGUUCGAAGGUACGCUAGGUACGGUCGGACAUCGUGCUGAUAGUGCAAUGGCAUAAGCGUGCUUAACUGCGAGACCGACAAGUCGAGCAGGUACGAAAGUAGGACAUAGUGAUCCGGUGGUUCUGUAUGGAAGGGCCAUCGCUCAACGGAUAAAAGGUACUC